rnacentral:rRNA from 1 species
UACGUAGGGCGCAAGCGUUUGUCCGGAAUUAUUGGGCGUAAAGAGCUCGUAGGCGGCUUGUCGCGUCGGAUGUGAAAGCCCGGGGCUUAACUCCGGGUCUGCAUUUCGAUACGGGCAGGCUAGAGUGUGGUAGGGGAGAUCGGAAUUCCUGGUGUAGCGGUGAAAUGCGCAGAUAUCAGGAGGAACACCGGUGGCGAAGGCGGAUCUCUGGGCCAUUACUGACGCUGAGGAGCGAAAGCGUGGGGAGCGAACAGG